AUUGAACGCUGGCGGCAGGCUUAACACAUGCAAGUCGAGCGGGGUGAUGGUGCUUGCACUAUCACUUAGCGGCGGACGGGUGAGUAAUGCUUAGGAAUCUGCCUAUUAGUGGGGGACAACAUCUCGAAAGGGAUGCUAAUACCGCAUACGUCCUACGGGAGAAAGCAGGGGAUCACUUGUGACCUUGCGGUAAUAGAUGAACCUAAAUCGGAUUAGCUAGUUGGUGGGGUAAAGGCCUACCAAGGCGACGAUCUUUAGCGGGUCUGAGAGGAUGAUCCGCCACACUGGGACUGAGACACGGCCCAGACUCCUACGGGAGGCAGCAGUGGGGAAUAUUGGACAAUGGGGGGAACCCUGAUCCAGCCAUGCCGCGUGUGUGAAGAAGGCCUUAUGGUUGUAAAGCACUUUAAGCGAGGAGGAGGCUCUUUUGGUUAAUACCCAAGAUGAGUGGACGUUACUCGCAGAAUAAGCACCGGCUAACUCUGUGCCAGCAGCCGCGGUAA
rnacentral:rRNA from 1 species